ACACGGGGAGGCGGCUGAGGCCCAGCAAGAAUUCAAGCUCCGCGGGGGCAGGCCAGCAGUGCUGGGGGACCCGGCGCACCCUCCGCAGCUGCUGGCCCGGGUGCUAAACCCCUCACUGCCCGGGCCGGCGGUGCCGGCGGGCUGCUCUCAGUGCGGGACCUCGGAGCCUGCGCCCACCCGGAACUAGCCGCGUUCAGCCCUGGUUCCCGCCCCCGCCUCUCCCGCCACACCUCUCCACAAGCAGAGGGAGCUGGCUUCAGCCUCAGCCAGCACAGAGAGGGGCCCCCAUAGCGCAGUGGCGGGCUGAAGGGCUCCUUGAGCAUGGCCAGAGUGGACGCCAAGGCUGAGGAGGCGCCGAGAGCCAGUGAGGGCUGCUAGCAUGUUGUCACCUCUCAAUACAUAAAACUACUGGAGGGUGGUUCCAAGAUGGCCAAAUAGGAACAGCUCCAGUCUACAGCUCCCAGCAUGAGUGAUGCAGAAGACGAAUGAUUUCUGCAUUUCCAACUCAGUAGAGAGCUGACUUUAGAGGGAUCAAGAAUAGCUUGCUGGAUGGAAGGAGCUCUCCCUCCCAUACUCCAAUUGAAGAGACCACAUGUUGACAUGGUGGAACCACCUGAUAGAAGCACCUGAAUCACCACUGGAAGAAUAGCUGUUCUGGAGAGCCCUUCAAAACCUAAAUUGGACUCUGCAUAAGCAAGAAAUCAAUUUUCAAAUAGAAACCUCAGGAGGCCCAAAGUUUCUAUCUGUUCGAAGAAGAAUCUGGAAAUGGCUCUGGAUGCCCCAUCCAUAUCAAUUUUGCAGACCCGUCUGGAGCUCUGUUGCAGUGGAAGAAGCUGCAUAGGAGAAAGGAUGAAUGAGAGGGCUGAACACAAGAACACAGAAGGGACUGAAGCCUCCACUUUUCCCCACCUCUGCCUAUUGCCACAGUAUCUGGAU
rnacentral:lncRNA from 10 species